AACUGAUACUACCUGCGGGAACCUGCGGAAGGAUCAUUAUCGAGUUUACAACUCCCAAACCAUUGUGAAUCUUACCUUUUCGUUGCUUCGGCGGGAUCGCCCCGGGCGCUUCGGUGCCCCGGAUUCAGGCGCCCGCCGGGGGACCUAAACUCUUGUAUUAUAGUGGAUUUCUGAGUGGAUUACACAAAUAAUCAAAACUUUCAGCAAUGGAUCUCU
rnacentral:misc_RNA from 1 species